rnacentral:rRNA from 1 species
AGAGUUUGAUCGUGGCUCAGGAUGAACGCUAGCGGCGCGCUUAAUGCAUGCAAGUCGAGCGAUGAGGCCCCUUCGGGGGCACAUCAGCGGCAGACGGGUGAGUAACACGUGGAUGACCUGCCCCGAAGACGAGGAUAACGGAUGGAAACAUCCGCUAAUACUCGAUGGUCUUGUACUGUCGCAGGUACAAGUAAAGCUCCGGUGCUUCGGGAGGGGUCUGCGGCCUAUCAGCUAGUUGGUGAGGUAACGGCUCACCAAGGCGACGACGGGUAGGGGGUGUGAGAGCACGGCCCCCCACAAUGGGACUGAGACACGGCCCAUACUCCUACGGGAGGCAGCAGCAGGGAAUAUUGCACAAUGGACGGAAGUCUGAUGCAGCGACGCCGCGUGGAUGAUGAAGGCCCUCGGGUUGUAAAAUCCUUUUCAGGGGGACGAGGAAGGACGGUACCCUUGGAAUAAGCGUCGGCUAACUACGUGCCAGCAGCCGCGGUAAGACGUAGGACGCGAGCGUUAUCCGGAUUUACUGGGCGUAAAGCGUCUGUAGGCGGAAUGGUAAGUUGGGCGUGAAAGCUCCGGGCUUAACUCGGAGAGGACGUUCAAUACUGCCAAACUAGAGGGCAUCAGAGGAGCGUGGAAUUUCCGGUGUAGCGGUAAGGUGCGCAGAUAUCGGAAGGAACACCAAUGGCGAAGGCAGCGCUCUGGGAUGAACCUGACGCUAAGAGACGAAAGCUAGGGGAGCGAACAGGAUUAGAGACCCUGGUAGUCCUAGCCCUAAACGAUGGAUGCUAGGUGUAGGGCCGCAAGGUUCUGUGCCGGAGCAAACGCGAUAAGCAUCCCGCCUGGGGAAUACGGCCGCAAGGCUAAAACUCAAACGAAUUGACGGGGCCCCGCACAAGCAGCGGAGCGUGUGGUUUAGUUCGAUCUACACGAAGAACCUUACCUGGGUUUGACAUACAAGUGGUAAUGAGGCGAAAGCCAAGUGACCCUUCGGGGAGCUUGUACAGGUGCUGCAUGGCUGUCGUCAGCUCGUGCCGUGAGGUGUCGGGUUAAGUCCCGUAACGAGCGCAACCCUUACCCUUAGUUGCAGGUGUCUAAGGGGACUGCCGGCGGUAAGCCGGAGGAAGGUGGGGAUGACGUCAAGUCAGCAUGGCCCAUAUGUCCAGGGCUACACACACGCUACAAUGGUUGGUACGGAGGGCAGCGAAGCCGCGAGGUGGAGCGAGUCCCAGCAGAGCCAAUCUUAGUUCGGAUUGCAGGCUGCAACUCGCCUGCAUGAAGCUGGAGUUGCUAGUAACCGCGCGUCAGCUAUAGUGCGGUGAAUACGUUCCCGGGGCUUGUACACACCGCCCGUCACGUCAUGGAAGUUGGUAACGCCUGAAGCUGGUAGCCUAGCGCGUAAGCGGGGGCGCCAUCGAAGGCGGGGCUAGCAACUGGGACGAAGU